rnacentral:rRNA from 1 species
AUUGAACGCUGGCGGCAUGCUUUACACAUGCAAGUCGAACGGCAGCACGGGCUUCGGCCUGGUGGCGAGUGGCGAACGGGUGAGUAAUAUAUCGGAACGUACCCAGAAGUGGGGGAUAACGUAGCGAAAGUUACGCUAAUACCGCAUACGAUCUAUGGAUGAAAGCAGGGGACCGCAAGGCCUUGUGCUCCUGGAGCGGCCGAUAUCUGAUUAGCUAGUUGGUGAGGUAAAGGCUCACCAAGGCGACGAUCAGUAGCUGGUCUGAGAGGACGACCAGCCACACUGGAACUGAGACACGGUCCAGACUCCUACGGGAGGCAGCAGUGGGGAAUUUUGGACAAUGGGCGCAAGCCUGAUCCAGCAAUGCCGCGUGAGUGAAGAAGGCCUUCGGGUUGUAAAGCUCUUUUGCCAGGGAAGAAACGGUAGAGGCUAAUAUCCUUUGCUAAUGACGGUACCUGAAGAAUAAGCACCGGCUAACUACGUG